AUGCAUAAUCAUCUUAUCUGAUGAAUAUGAUGAAGCGAAAACUUGUCCUGGACACGAGGUUGGGCCAUUACCGCAAACUAUACAAAAUCCAACACGGUUCACAUUAUACGCUUUUUCUUUAUAUUUUUGAGCCUUAGCUUCCUAGUUUUUCUAGACUAAAGUGGUGCCACGGUCGCCGCCAUGACAGGUGUGAUGACGCCUCUUUGCAAAUGGUCCGAUAAAGGAGCAAGGGAAUUUUCAAAGAUGUUUUUUUAUUGUGUCGUGAACUGUCUUAAAAGAUCACAAAAUUGUUCUGGAAAGUGAAAGACAUGCUUCAACCAUUAAAAAUGUAACCCCCCGCAUUAGGAGGAAUAUUUUCUUACCAAACAACCAUUGAAACUCUGCUGCUUUGGAAGCGAACAAUUUAUCACUGGACCACCAUUGGACCUGUGACCUACCACUUUGGACGAGAACAUUUUAUCACUGGAUCAACAUUGAACAUUAGCACCCGGUAUAAAAUGCUUAAUUGAAAAUAACUACUUCAAGUGUGCAUCUGACAGGGUAAGAAUUACGUUGUUCUUAUGUCUUUGUUAUCAACUACAGUGCGCAUUGCUGCUAGACAUCUGGUAAAAGUGCGGGUAAAAUUAUCGUCCUGACAGAGCGAUGGGGCGGUGUGAUUAAAGACGGAAAAAAACUACGGUUAUUACGUCAGCAAGAGCAAAUCAUGGAUGAUUUGUAAAAUUGAAGCGAUUGAACUUAAAGCCAGAAAAUUUUUUAGAGAUUCGUCACUACAACGACAUCUUGGAGCUUCAAUUGAAAGCAAAGAGUUUCGUGAUGAAUAUGCAAAUAAUAAAACUAGUCAAUGGUGUGAAGAAAUAAAAAAACUUUCAACAAUAGCGUUGACAGAACCGCAAGCAGCCUUUGCAGCUUUCACACAUGGCGAGUUAAAAAAAUUUUACAUAUUUCAUGCGUGCAAUACCUGGUAUGGAAGAAUAUUUAGUACCUCUAGAUACGAUCAUAUCCGACAUGUUUUUACCAUCUGUUUUAAGCAACACCUUUUCGGAAAGUAAAAGAGCUCUUUAUAAAAGAUCGAUAAAAACUGGCGGCCUUGGAAUACCAAUACUAACAGAAAUUCCCGCCAUGGGUUAUGAGUCAUCAAAAGUCAUCACUGCUCCACUAGUUGCUGCCAGCAUUGUUUAGUCUGAUUCCCUUCCGAAUAAAGAUAAAACAAAACAAGUUAAAGCUUGUCGCGUAAAUGCUAUCAGGGAAGCUCGAGAUGUUAAUUAACAAUCAGCUGAAUAGGAGUGAGAUACGGGCAAUGGAACAGAAUAGUGAAAAAGGUGCCUCGAGCUGGCUUAACGUUUUACCAGUAAAAGGAAAAGGUUUCGAUGUUACAAAGGAAGAGUUUCAAGAUGCACAUGCGCUGAGAUACAAUCAUUCUGUAAAAAAUCUUCCAUCAAAAUGGGCGUGCGGAGAUGAUUUCAAUGCCACCCAUGCCGUGUGCUGUAAAAAAGGUGGUUUUGUGACUAUGCGUCAUAAAAUCGUACGUGAUUUCGAAGCAAAUUUGUUGCAAGAAGUUUGUGAUGAUGUGGAAGUUCAGGCAAAGCUUUCACCGGUCAACAACGAUGAAGCAAGGCUUGAUGUAAGAGCCAGGGUAUUUGGCGUCCAGGACAAUUAGCUUACUAUGAUGUACGUUUAACCAAUCUAAAUGCCCCAUCGCAAAUUGAAACGUCAAUUAGUAAGAUAUAUAAGAAGCAUGAAGCUGAAAAGAAACGUAAAUACAAUCAGCGUGUAUUAGAUAACGAACAUGGCACAUUCACCCCCCUUGUCUUUUCCAUAAACGGGGAAAUAAGCAAAGAAUGUUCUGCACUUCACAAAUUUCAUGCAGAAAAAAUUUCACUGAAAUCCGGCGAACAAUACGAUAAAAUAAUGACUUGAAUGAGAUGUAAACUCUCCUUCGUAAUUAUAUAAUCUGCUUGGCUUUGCCUUAGAGGUUUCAGAUCCUUGAAUACCAAGUUGCACACAGAGGUGGUUAAUAAUUUUUAUCUUGCCUGUGUAGAUGCCAGAAUAUGAAAUUUUUAUUUUAUAUAGUCACGAGUGCGCACUUCUCCUCUUCUAUUCAGUCAAACACUUGCGUGGCUCAUACUCAUCAUACUGUCCUUUCUUUAUUAAUUUUCAUGUUAUUUAUCCUUAGUUUAUUUAUAUUUUAAUUAAAUUGUAAUUAUAUUUUAAUGAAUAAAUAUAUUUACUUCUUCUUUCUAUAUAAGGUUACAAACUAAUUUCUUUAAUGCUAGCUGUCGUCUGUCUGUUUGUGCGUCUGUUUUCUUUUUUUACGGAAACACGAAAUGCGAUAUAUAAAGGAGGGGCUGCCCCGUGGAUUAAGUCUACAUUAUAAAACCCGUAUACGUCUGUCUGUCUGUCGCGCAAAAUGGUACCGUAAGUAGCAAGAUGCACGCAAUGCUGUAUAAAAAGGCCGGGCGACCCGUGGAGUGUUCCACGGACCACCGACUAGUGUACUGCAUGCAGUGUACAGCAUGAUAGCAAGUUGUAAUAACGACUAUUUAUUUAUAGUGUAAUGGGUGUUUCUAUUUAUAUCAAUUCUAUUCAAUUGUAUAGUUUAGUGGAAUUCACUACUUUAUAGAUUUUGCAAAAUUUUAUAAAUACUUUUUUUAACUUUACAAGAGGUCAUAUUUUUGUUUAGGUUGUCCCAUUUUUUCUGCUUGUUUAUUGCCACUUUUUUCUUUACAUAUUUUGGCAAGACGACAUUUUUUUAUACACUGACGUGUCGGGUAUUCAACCUAUCUAUUCUUUGUAAAUCUAUAAGAGAAUCUGGAGGAGAUUUGUGGGGAAGGCAGGGUUAAAUACCAUGGUUAACAGCAAUCAUGAUGAUAAGGACAGCAUGGCGUUUGAUAUUCACAAAAAGGACUUAUCAUAUCCUGAUGGGACGGCUUACUCAAUUAAUCGAUCAAACAAUUAAUCGAAUUUAUCUCAUUAAUCACUUCAACUCGUCAAACAGCGUUCUGUAGUGAAGCACUGCCCAUUUUAUCCUGCUAACAGUGUCAUCAUGAAACUUGUCAUUAUUUUUUUGGCUUUUUAUAUUUUGCAAAUACGAGAGACGAAACGUUGUUAUCGCAAACGCAUGUUUGGUUGCGUUGAAAUAAAAACUGAGAAAACUGAUUUUGAUAGAAAAACUAAAGACAAAAUGAGAAGUAAGACAAAUCUCAACCUUAUAGGUACGAAGGGUUCAAAUGUUUGAUUCAUAAGUGUGCAUAAUUUUAUUCGUUCGUUCGUUCGUUCGUUCGUUCGUUCGUUCGUUCGUUCGUUCGUUCGUUCGUUCGUUCGUUCGUUCGUUCGUUCGUUCGUUCGUUCGUUCGUUCGUUCGUUCGUUCGUUCGUUCGUUCGUUCGUUCGUUCGUUCGUUCGUUCGUUCGUUCGUUCGUUCGUUCGUUCGCUCGUUCGUUCGUUCGUUCGUUCGUUCGUUCGUUCGUUCGUUCGUUCGUUCGUUCGUUUGUUCUACUUUACCUUUUAGCUCUCAAGAAGAUGAACAAGUUUUUUACUUUAUACCUGGAACAAAAAAUUUUGACGAAAAAGAUACAUUGAUAUACCGAGACAUCAUUAACACGACACUGACGUUUUAUCACACACCGCCACAAAUAUAUCUGGACCAGCUAGCUAAAUAUAGUCAGGACCAGUAACUUUGAUUUUUAACCGCACUAUUAUAUCCAGUAAAUGAUGAACAAACUCUACCUAUCAUAAAAGUUAAUCUUUUACAACUUUGUAAUUAGUAAAGGUAUGACCCCACCUAACCUUGCACCUCAGCCGUUCUCUGAAGUGGAGAGUUUAUUACUGCAUAGGAACGUUACACAUGUUGGGUAAAAGUAUUUGUUAGGAAGAAAUUUCAGAUUGUUGAAAAUAAUUUAUGUAUCUUUUUUAAUUUUAGUCUAUUUUUAAAAUUUUUUGACAUGUGGUUGCGAAUAUUGUUUAUAUAGUUAUAAUCAUUUCUUUACUUUAGGACGAUUCUGAAAAAAGGUCCAGAACUGUCACUGUAUUAGUCGUUUUUUUAAGAAACAUACUUUUGGGAUUAUUCUGGGUGUUUCUUGAAUUUAAAGGAAAUUUAUGGUGUCAAAACGAAAUAGGUUGAGAAGGAGAAUCGAAAAUAAAUUCGAAAACAUAAAAUGACACUUCGGGAUUUAGCCAUUAGAAGCAAGAAUAAUCUCUAAGUAUAGAAAUAAAAAUAAGAUCUUUCCAUUUUACUCAAGCAACUUUCGUCUUGUCAGUACUGGGAAAGUCCCCUCUCCCCUCUGCCCCUCUUCCCCUUCUUCCAGGUAUUAUUCCUUCCACUUUCUCAGAGUUGUAGAAUAAAAAAUACCUAUCUUGCUCUUAUUGUUUAUAUCUAUCUUG